AGUUGUGCAUUCUAGAGCUCUUUAGAGCUACUUCAGAGUUGCAGGAUAAAGAUUUCUAGGGAAGAGGGCAGGGCCAGGCGCCCGGAGGAUUUCCAGCCACGGGUAGUUUACCGAGAGAAAAAGCUGCGGGCGUCGCUCCCUCUUUUACAUAAGAAAGGCUAAGCUCUAAAAGGCAGACAACUUCUUCCUGGCCCUUCGGAGAAGCUAGCCCUUGGAACCUAGGCCCUGAGUCGUGAGGAAGAGGAAAGACUACAUGGGGUCACUAUGUAAGGUGUUCCUGGUGACAGCUCCUGCUGAGGACCCAGCUGACAGCAAGCACCAACCUCCAGACAACAAGAGCUUUCUUCUGGCACAUCUGGUUUAUGUGAAUACAUUAGUGAGUUUCCCAGGAAGCCGCAGCAUCACACAAAGGCCCAUGAUCAUUUCACCAGGUUGACCUGAACAUCAUUGGCUAAACAUAGGAAAUCAAGAAAUUGUUAAAACUUCGCCAAAGUUUUCUACCUCUAAUAGUUAAGAGAUGAUGAAGGGAAGACUCUGUUCUUCAGAAGAAUUCAAUAAUGUCUUCUUUCACAGGCUUUAAAAGAUUAUCUCUUCAAAGAUUCUUCUAACUUUUUGUUUGUUUAUAGACCAUGUGUUCUCAAUAGGAACAAUAUUGUCCACCAAAGGGUGAAAAUUGGUUCUUGGGGGGUUUAACAUUUUCUUACUAUUUUAAUGUAUAAAGCACAGAUAUACCUAUAUACAGUUCACAAACAACAUAAUGGUGUCUCUGUGGCAUUAAAUCUCAUGGAGGAGAGGACGAUCAGAAAAAAUGUCUAAAAAGGCUUCUUUAGGGAUGUGAUACUGAACAAAAGUUUAGAAACUGAAUUAGAGGACAGGAAAGGCACAUAAAGAGUUUAAAGGGACUAAUCAAACAGGACGUUUUCAACUGAUUACAUGAAUUUGGUCUGAGACUGAUUCCUCAGAAUGCCCCCCACUCUCAAGAUACCAUUUCACCUGAAGUCAUUAGCUUUGGAAUAGAAAGGAACAAAUCUACGCUUUGUUAAGAAAUAUUUGUAAAUUGGAAAUUUUCAUUCUUUAUCUCACUUUGUUUUAAAGCAACAUCAGAGAAAAAAAUUGUUAUAUCCAUUUUUUAUAGCUGAGGGAAGUAACGCUCAAUGAGGUUAACACUUUCAAAUUCUACAAAGAAUACACAGUUUCUGAGUGUAAUUAGUGAAUGUAAGAACCUGAGUUUGUUUGAUUUCAAAGCCCAUGAUUUCCUCCCACUCAUGUGCUAGCCAGGGAUUGCUGGUGGGUGAGAUGGUGUUCCAUUCUACUAUCCUGAGUUCACUGAAAAUUGACUCAAAUGCCUGAGUCAGGAAUUGAUGUGUUCUCACAGCUCGAAUUCUGGGAAGACUAGUGGUGGGGGUGGGGCUGUCACUAAGAUGUCCAGGAGUUCUGCACGGGGUGGUGGGGGCACAUUCUCCCGGGAAGUUUCAACUGGACUGGAGUUUACAGGAAUCCAAGAGCUUUGGCUAGAACAGAACCAAUCUCAGGAUUGCAGAGAACCCUGUUAGUAGCAACCUUACAUUCCAUUCCAUAUUUGUCAGUGAGGGAGAGGCACUCUGAUCCCCAUCAGAAAUUUGAAGAACCACAUAAGUUUUGGCUAGCUGCCUGUUCCCUCUGCUUCACAGCUUAACGAUGAAACUUUUGUUUGCUGUGUUCUUCCAUCCUCUGCUCCCAAGUAGCAGAUGCCAACCAAGGAAUGACUGCUGAUUUCAAAAUUAGAGAGAUGGCCAUAUAGACUAUGAACAUAUAGAUCAUUUCUGCUUUUUCUUUUGUUUCUAGAGAUUAGUAUAAAACUUUUUGUACAACAUCCCCUAUACUCAUUAAAUCUGUGACAUCCUUGUUGCUACCUGAUAUCAUAUAUCUGCUUUAUUUUAUAUUUCUGCUUUUCCUUUUCCAGUGACAGGUUGCCAUUUUAAAGAUGAUUAAUUAUCUAUCAUUUGGGAGCAGGACCAUAACCUUUAACUUUUCCUGACAGGACAAAAAACAUGUGUUCACACCACCCACCCUUAUUGAUUCUCAUGGUAAGGAAGAAGAGAGGAUCAUAAACUAGAAGUGAAAAAAUGGAAGUUUUAGUGCUUUUUCUUUAAAAGAGAGAGAAUGCAUGAUGCUUGCCUCACUCUGCUGUAACGAAUGUAAGUUAAAACUAAAAUACAGUUUAGAAAACUUUCACAUAUUACUCACAAGAACAAGCUAUGAGUGUUGUUAUUUUACUAUUUGCUAAAUGUAUAGUACUAAUGUCUCUUCUAAGGGACAAAUAUCAAGCAUUUCACAAGAGGUUACACGUCAUCUUGCUCUAUGCUAGCAUGGAAAUAAAUGAGAGUUGGGAAAACAGGAAAUAAAUAUUCUAAGUUAUCAGGGAAUGCUGCCAAGGCAUCAUAGGAGUGUCAUUAGUUAUUUUGGUUUCUCAACCAAGACCUGAGAUACAAGGCUAGUGGGUGGUGUCUAGGACAACACAGAGAAAAUGAGGAAGCUCUUGGAAAGUGCUCUCCCCUUGCUCUGUCUCCCCUUUAUUCUUCACUCUGUAGGCCAGAUCCUCUGGAGGCAGAAUGCAGCCACCACUGUGUUUACACUUUGGUACAAGAGAGGUUUCUUGUAUGUAAGCACAGUGCUCCAUGGAGCCAUAGAGAUAGCUGGUGGCACUCUGCAGUUUUCUGUGCAGUAGCUUGAUAGACUGGAGAAAGCCUGAACUAGGAGCCAAAGUUUUGAUGUUAGAUGCAUAAUCAUCACAAGUAACACAAAUCAAUUUUUAGCAAGUUACUUAAAUCUUUCUAUCCUGGUUAAUUUAUUGUUUUACAUUCUAAAAAUUGAGAUAGAAUUCAUAUACUAUAAUAUCCACCCUUUAUAAAGUCUAGAAUUUGAUGAUAUUUGUGAUUACAUUCACAAAGUUGUGCAACCAUCACUGCUAUCUUAUUCCAGAACAUUGUCAUCAUUCCAAAACAAAACAAAACAAAACAAAACACCCAUAUCCAUGAGCAGUCACUCCUUACUCUUCCCUCCUCCCAGUCCCCAGCAACCACUAAUGUAUGUUCUGUCUCUAUAGACUUGACUAUUCCACACAUUUCAUAUAAAUGUAAUUAUAUGUUAUGUGAUCUCUUGUGUCUGUCUCCUUUCACUUAGCAUAAUAUUUUCAAGGUUCAUUCAUGGUGUUACAUGUAUCAAAAUUUUAUUUCUUUUUAUGGGCAAUAAUACUCAAUUGUAGCUUAUUGUUUAGUCACUCAUUCAUCUGGUCAUCCAUCCUUCACCUACUCUUCACUGAAUACUUAUUAUGAACCAGCCUUGUCCUAGGCUCUUGGGACACAUUUAUUCAUAUUUGUGACAUGAAUGAAUAAAGGCACAAAUUUAUUAACUAUUAUAUAAAGAUAAAUAUGAGAUCUUCAUAUCACCUCAGUUAAAAAUAUUGGGUGAACAGAUUGUUUAUGAGCUUUUAAAAUUUUGAGGUCUUUGUAUCCAAAGGAGACCUGAGUUCUUGUUUAGUUUCUGUGUCUACUUACCCCUUGAAACUUAGAUUAGAGGAGGGAGGGAGGCCUGCUUCAUGAACCCCAGGACUGUGGGUUAUUUCAAUGUGGCCCUGUGCUCAGAGGGGCCUAUGCUUGUUUUAACACUCUGUUGUGACUGUCUUGAAAUUCUUAAUAACUUUUGAACAAGGGGCCUUGUAUUUCAUUUUCCACUGGGCCCUGUAAUUUAUGUGGCCAGUUCUGAAGGGAGCAAAUAUUUAUUAAGUGUCUACUCUGUAUUGGCCAUUGAAUUUGACCCCACAGCUCAUGUUGUUUAACAAGUCACAUUUCUCUAUUUUAAAAAUGAGAAUGUUACAUUUAAUAUUAUUUAAGGUCUCUUCUAUGUCUAAAUUUCACUAAUUCUAAGUCUUGCAAAAUGAUCUAUGAAGGCAAUGUAUUAUACUUGUACCAGCUGAUUCAUCUUUUCAAGAUUUAUCUUAAUUGGCAUAACUUCUUAGAAAUCUUCCUUGAUUCUUUCCCCAGCCAAAUUUAGUAAGCUUUCUUUUGUGUUCUCACACUCCCUCAGUGUUAUUAACAGAGCUUUUUAUAAAACUGGAUUUUAUGAAGUAAAAAUAGUUUCUGUCUCUCUCAUUGCAUUGUAUGUCCCCUUUAAAUCAGGUACUGCAUCUUAGUUAACGUGUAACUUGCAAAAUGCUUCUUAAAACAAGCAGGAUUAAAGAGUCCAAUAGUAAAAAUGAAAGUUCAGAAAUGCCAGUUCAUGACAUUAUUAGAGAUGGGAAAAUCUGAGGCAAACACAUAGUCCACAACAAAGUCACUGGAAUAUAGAAACUAAAGAUAUACAGUGAGAAAAGAAAUUAGGACAUUUGCCCAAGUAAACUUAACUUAAAAGAACUAUAGUUUUAAAAUGAUAUAUGCAUAAUAGUAUAGGAAUUUAAUAAACAAAAAGUAAUACAAAAGUAAUACCUCUCCAUAAUUUUAAAAUAAUCAAAAGGCACAGAGGGUAUAAAAUAAAAAUUUCUUUUCAUGUAAUUUCCCAGUCUCAUUUUCCAAAGAUAUGCUCAAUAAGAGUUUCUUGGCCAGGCAUGUUGGCUCACGUCUGUAAUCCCAGCACUUUGGGAAGCCGAGGCAGGCAGAAACUUGAGCCCACGAAUUUAACACUAGCCGGGGAAACAUGGCAAAACCCCAUCUCUACAGAAAAUUGCAAAAACUAGGUGGGCAUGGUGGUGCAUGCCUGUAGUCCUAGCUACUCAGAAGGUUGAAGUGGGAGGAUUACCUGAGCCCAGGGAGGUUGAGUCUGCAGUGAGCCGUGAUUGUGCCACCACACUCAAGCCUGGGUAACAGAGUAAGACUCUGUCUCAAAAAAAAAGUUUCUCGAGUAUCCUCCUAGAAAUGCUUUAUGAGGAGUACAUUUAUACACUCUUGUUAUUGCACAAAUAGGAUUCUAUUUAUAUUUCUAUAUAGUUAUUUUCCUUGCCUUUUACUUAGUAAUAUUUUUUAGACCUCCUCCCAUAUUGGUAUCUAUAGAUCUCCCUAAUUCAUUUUCAGGAGUGCAUAGUACUCUAUGACAUGUGUUGAACACAGUUAAAUAAAGCAGUCCUUUCUGAUGAAUACAUAACAUUGUUUUCAGUUUCUGUAAAUUAUGGAAAACCACAAUAGAUAUCUUCACAUAGGAAGAUAUUCACAGUAUAAAUUUCCAGCAGUGAAAUUGCUGGAAGUCUUUAUAAUUUGAUUUUAAGAAAAACUUAAUUCAGUACCCAACCUGAUGUCUUUGAGACAAUUUCACAUUUACUUGUUUGUUCUUCUCCCUCACCUUCCUUUAGAAUUUCUUUUUUCUGAUUGGGAUGACAUAUUUCUAAAGUAUUUCUAGCUUUCAAAAAAAUAAUUUAUAGAAAAUCAGUCUAUAUUUUUAAAGACCAAUUGAAGCUGUCUACCUCACCAAUGUGAAGAACUGAAGUAGAAUUUAAUUUUCUUUUCUAAUACUUUUUUCUAGUAUUAAAUUCAAAGACUACUAUUCCUCUUUUAUUUACAGCAGUCUGUGUUCAAAUUGUGCUGACACCAUGAUAGAUUUCAGAGUGAUUUUUUUGGCUAUGUGGGCCUCUCCCAUUAUAAUAAGAGUACCAGCUUCUUAAUGCUUGUGAUAUGAUUUGGCUGUGUCCCCACCCAAAUCUCAUCUUGAAUUUUAGUUCCCAUAAUCCCUAGGUG